GACGAACGCUGGCGGCGUGCUUAACACAUGCAAGUCGAGCGGUAAGGCCCUUUCGGGGGUACACGAGCGGCGAACGGGUGAGUAACACGUGGGUGACCUGCCCUCAGCUCUGGGAUAAGCCCGGGAAACUGGGUCUAAUACCGGAUAUGACUCCAUGACGCAUGUUGUGGGGUGGAAAGCCAUGGCGCAAGCGAUGGCGCACGACGAGGGGUUC
rnacentral:rRNA from 1 species